rnacentral:rRNA from 1 species
GAUGAACGCUGGCGGCGUGCCUAAUACAUGCAAGUCGAGCGAAUGGAUUAAGAGCUUGCUCUUAUGAAGUUAGCGGCGGACGGGUGAGUAACACGUGGGUAACCUGCCCAUAAGACUGGGAUAACUCCGGGAAACCGGGGCUAAUACCGGAUAACAUUUUGAACAGCAUGGUUCGAAAUUGAAAGGCGGCUUCGGCUGUCACUUAUGGAUGGACACGCGUCGCAUUAGCUAGUUGGUUAGGUAACGGCUCACCAAGGCAACGAUGCGUAGCCGACCUGAGAGGGUGAUCGGCCACACUGGGACUGAGACACGGCCCAGACUCCUACGGGAGGCAGCAGUAGGGAAUCUUCCGCAAUGGACGAAAGUCUGACGGAGCAACGCCGCGUGAGUGAUGAAGGCUUUCGGGUCGUAAAACUCUGUUGUUAGGGAAGAACAAGUGCUAGUUGAAUAAGCUGGCACCUUGACGGUACCUAACCAGAAAGCCACGGCUAACUACGUGCCAGCAGCGCAGUAA